GACGAACGCUGGCGGCGUGCUUAACACAUGCAAGUCGAACGGAAAGGCCCCUUUGGGGGUACUCGAGUGGCGAACGGGUGAGUAACACGUGAGUAACCUGCCCUUGACUUCGGGAUAACUUCAGGAAACUGGGGCUAAUACCGGAUAGGAAUCCUUGCUGCAUGGUGGGGGUUGGAAAGCUUCGGCGGUUUUGGAUGGACUCGCGGCUUAUCAGCUUGUUGGUGGGGUAGUGGCUUACCAAGGCUUUGACGGGUAGCCGGCCUGAGAGGGCGACCGGCCACAUUGGGACUGAGAUACGGCCCAGACUCCUACGGGAGGCAGCAGUGGGGAAUAUUGCACAAUGGGCGGAAGCCUGAUGCAGCAACGCCGCGUGCGGGAUGACGGCCUUCGGGUCGUAAACCGCUUUCAGCAGGGGCGAAGCUUUUGUGACGGUACCUGCAGAAGAAGCACCGGCUAACUACGUG
rnacentral:rRNA from 1 species